rnacentral:rRNA from 2 species
GUGCAUGGUUGUCGUCAGCUCGUGUCGUGAGAUGUUGGGUUAAGUCCCGCAACGAGCGCAACCCUUGAUCUUAGUUGCCAUCAUUAAGUUGGGCACUCUAAGGUGACUGCCGGUGACAAACCGGAGGAAGGUGGGGAUGACGUCAAAUCAUCAUGCCCCUUAUGACCUGGGCUACACACGUGCUACAAUGGACGGUACAAAGAGCUGCAAGACCGCGAGGUGGAGCUAAUCUCAUAAAACCGUUCUCAGUUCGGAUUGUAGGCUGCAACUCGCCUACAUGAAGCUGGAAUCGCUAGUAAUCGCGGAUCAGCAUGCCGCGGUGAAUACGUUCCCGGGCCUUGUACACACCGCCCGUCACACCACGAGAGUUUGUAACACCCGAAGUCGGUGGGGUA